rnacentral:rRNA from 1 species
CCUACGUGUGGCAGCAGUGAGGAAUAUUGGUCAAUGGCCGGAAGGCUGAACCAGCCAUGCCGCGUGAAGGUCAGUGCCCUAUGGGCGUUAAACUUCUUUUGUGCGGGAGCAAUAAUGGUCACGUUGGGCGAGACGAGAGUACCGUACGAAUAAGCAGCGGCUAACUCCGUGCCAGCCGCCCCGGUAAUACGGGGGAUGCAAGCGUUAUCCGGAUUUAUUGGGUUUAAAGGGUGCGUAGGCUGUGAGGUAAGUCAGCGGUGAAAUGCCCCCGCUCAACGGGGUGAAGUGCCAUUGAUACUGGCUUGCUGGAAUGCGGAUGAGGUGGGAGGAAUGUGUGGUGUAGCGGUGAAAUGCAUAGAUAUCACACAGAACACCGAUUGCGAAGGCAUCUCACGAAUCUGCGAUUGACGCUGAUGCACGAAAGCGUGGGUAUCAAACAGGAUUAGAUACCCGAGUAGUC